UACGGAAGGUGCGAGCGUUGUUCGGAAUGACUGGGCGUAAAGCGCACGUAGGCGGGUUUGUAAGUCGGAUGUGAAAGCCCUGGGCUCAACCUAGGAACUGCACCCGAAACUACAGAUCUUGAAUGCUUGAGAGGUUGGUGGAAUUCCUGGUGUAGGAGUGAAAUCCGUAGAUAUCAGGAGGAACAUCGGAGGCGAAGGCGGCCAACUGGUGAUGCAUUGACGCUAAGGUGCGAAAGCGUGGGGAGCAAACAGG
rnacentral:rRNA from 1 species